GAUGAACGCUGGCGGCGUGCCUAAUACAUGCAAGUCGAGCGAACAGACGAGGAGCUUGCUCCUCUGACGUUAGCGGCAGACGGGUGAGUAACACGUGGAUAACCUACCUAUAAGACUGGGAUAACUUCGGGAAACCGGAGCUAAUACCGGAUAACAUGUUGAACCGCAUGGUUCAACAGUGAAAGACGGUUUUGCUGUCACUUAUAGAUGGAUCCGCGCCGCAUUAGCUAGUUGGUAAGGUAACGGCUUACCAAGGCAACGAUGCGUAGCCGACCUGAGAGGGUGAUCGGCCACACUGGAACUGAGACACGGUCCAGACUCCUACGGGAGGCAGCAGUAGGGAAUCUUCCGCAAUGGGCGAAAGCCUGACGGAGCAACGCCGCGUGAGUGAAGAAGGUCUUCGGAUCGUAAAACUCUGUUAUUAGGGAAGAACAAAUGUGUAAGUAACUAUGCACGUCUUGACGGUACCUAAUCAGAAAGCCACGGCUAACUACGUG
rnacentral:rRNA from 1 species